rnacentral:rRNA from 1 species
UGCCAGACUCCUACGGGAGGCAGCAGUAAGGGAUAUUGGUCAAUGGGGGAAACCCUGAACCAGCAACGCCGCGUGGGGGAAGACGGUUUUCGGAUUGUAAACCUCUGUCCUCUGUGAAGAUGAUGACGGUAGCAGAGGAGGAAGCUCCGGCUAACUACGUGCCAGCAGCCGCGGUAAUACGUAGGGAGCGAGCGUUGUCCGGAUUUACUGGGUGUAAAGGGUGCGUAGGCGGCUGUGCAAGUCAGUAGUGAAAUCCAUGGGCUUAACCCAUGAACUGCUAUUGAAACUGCACAGCUUGAGUGAAGUAGAGGUAGGCGGAAUUCCCGGUGUAGCGGUGAAAUGCGUAGAGAUCGGGAGGAACACCAGUGGCGAAGGCGGCCUGCUGGACGAUGACUGACGCUGAGGCUCGAAAGCGUGGGGAGCAAACAGGAUUAGAUACCCUCGUAC